GAAUGUACCUGAUGAGAAACAUUUGAUGUACUUUAUUGCCCUUAGCUCUGGCUCCUAGAUGAAUGUUGCGGUUUAGGAAUGGCAUUCUAAUGUCAUUAUAUUUGCUGUUGAGGACUUCUGAAGGUAUGUGGUGAGACAGCAAAAUUGUCAAAAUGCUGUAUGAGCCUGCAGCCAUGUCCUUUCCCAAACCUUCCAUCUCAGGAAUCUCCCAGGAAAUCUUUGUGCUUUCCAUAUAAGUUAAAAUCCUUACAAUGUGGAAGGUAUUUUUUUGUACUAUACUGCGCAUUUAUGCCAUUGAUUUUUUUUUUGUCUAUUCUGUAACUCCAACAAAUGGUAGCAUAGUUUGAAGUAUUAAACACAAACAAAAAUACUGACACUGCAGUGUGCAGUGUAGGAUUCACCUUCAAAACAACAGGAGAUACAAGCAUAUAGAGAAGCAGUAGAGUUAAAGCACGGUUUUAAGAGCAUAGUGAGACAAUGAUUAAUGGGAUGUCAGAUUGUGGUCAUAACUCUCCAUUGUGGUGUUCAGCUGCUGGAUGUCAUUGUAACAACAACUACUUACUGAUUCCUUUUUUUUUAAGGGAAGGUAGAGUUAAUUUUGGCAGUACUCAUAAGGCUUGUAUUGGUUAUUGUGAUGUCUUUGAGAAGUAAACAGGUGUUAGGAAUUCUUCAAACACUAAGUGAAGUGAAUUGAGGUACUUGAACAGUUUAUCAGGCAGUUGUUAUGAAUUUGAUGAAAUUUAAAUACAUAAGGAAUGGAAUCUGCCAAAACAUUUGAAAUAAUUUAAUAAUUGGUCUAAUUAGCUAACAACUUUAAUACAAUGAUUCAUUUAAAUAAAGCAGUAAAUGUUUCAAAGUUUUCUGCCUUUAGAUUUAGGGCAAUUUUUUUUUGCGUGGGAAUACUACAUUGAUACAUUUAUUAUGAGUGACUGGUAAGGGAAUUGUUGCUUUUAUCCAAAGACUGACAGCACAGUUAGACAUAUGACAUAUUUCAAUACAGAAAUAAUUGUGCUAAUUAGAGCUUGUUUAGUUGAAUAUUUUGCCAGAGAUGGGAUUAUUUCUCAAAAUAGAAGUGUUAGUAUUGAUAUUUUAUACCAAUUAUAAGAUCUUAGAGCAAGAAUAUUUUUGAAUCCAGACAGUUUAACUACUUAUGAAGAAAAAGAUUUUUCUGCACAAAACUUCAUACUAGAAUUUUAUCUUAAGAUUUGAACAGGUUUAAAAAAAUAUCAUAUCUGUCAAAAGUAAAAUGUUCCUGUUGUCCAGGAGUACUGGUUAUAUUACAUGACUAACUGCAGACUACAAACGGCUGUGGAUAGCUGAAUUGUAAGAAAUAAUCUAUGGACUCAUCAAAUGAUCCAAGACCUGAGAUUCUUGAUCAGACCUUUUGUUACUGCCUGGGACACUUAUCAGCUCUGGAAGUAGAAGGGGGACAAGAACAAGGAUUCAAGGGUGAAAUGGAGCAGGAAACGAAGCGGGAUUGCAAGAGAUAGGAAGUUCAGAUGGGGCAGGAGUAGGAAGUCAUAGCAUGCCAAAGGCUCAAGGGAAAUAUUGCAAGCUUCCAUCCAGCAAACAUGGAGUCAGAAAAUAAUUUUGCAGGUGGCCUGAAAGCUGGGAUCAGUGGUUUCGAAGUGGGUCAAAGUGGCUUCAGCAGACUGGAGAAAUAAGCUGGUAGAAAUCCUGUGAAGUUCAGCAAAAGGAAGACUGUAGACCAAACAGCUGGAAAGGAUCUUGGGAGAAAAAGAUUCAGGUACGGACCAAAUGAACACUGAGCCACCAAACACCCUGGCAACAGAGGCCUGCGGGCUCCUAGGCUGCAGUAAGUGGAGCUUUGUGAGCAGGUUGAAGGAGGUGAUCCUUCUGCUUUCCUUGGCACUCAUCAUCUAUGAUGUGUACUGUUCUCAGCUCCCCCUGUUCUGCAAAGGGUGACAACAAUGCUUAAAGACUUGAAGUGUCUGACACAAGGAGAUGGACUACUUAGCUUGGGGAAGAGAAGGUGUAGGAGUAUCUUAUCUGUAUGUAUGAAUACCUGAUGGGAGGGAGUAAAGAAAAAGAAGCCAGACUUUUCUAAGUGAUGGGACAAUGGACACAAAUUGAAAUACAGGAAAUUCCAAUUAAACACAAGAAAAAUCAUCCUAAUUUGCUUCAGGUCACCCAAAAGUGAUUGAGAAAAUGUGAAAAGACUGAAAUCAAACCCCACAGUGAUUUGUCAUCUUAAUGACCGUGGAUGCUUUCAGAAAUUGGACUUGAGAGUGCCUUGCUUAAAUAUGGAGGUUGGCUGUUUCACAAGAGUUUGGUGAGAGCUCUAAGUCCAUAUCAUCACAAACACCUGUCCCCUAAGCCAGUUCACUGUGUACAACAGGCAAUAUGCUGAGGGAGAAUUGCCAGAGGAACCACUAGAUGUGAGAGCUUGUGGAAAUGCUGAUACUGAAAAACUGUAUUUAUAUCUUCUUGUACUUGCUCUGGAUGUACUUUUGGUUUGUUUCUUUUUGCUCUUUAUGUAUUUACAAUAACAAAAAAAAGCAAUAGAAAAAAAAAACUGGCCAAAAGGUGGCAGUGAAGACACAUAAAAUAUGCCGUCCUACAUUUAUGUAGUAAACUGUUUAAAAGAAAAAUUGUGUUCUCUUAAGUUUUAAGAGCAUUAUUGUUAAAAAAAGUUACCUAUUGGGCUGAAUGGUAAUGUAAAAACUCCAGCAGGAGUUUGACUUACUGAAGUAACUUAUUACUGGAUAAAAACCUGCUAUUGACUAGUGUGUGAGCUUUGUGUAAGACAGAAAAAGAAUAGCUUUGCCUUGAUCUAGUCUCCUGCUGCUCAGAGAAUAGAUCACAGGGUUAGGAUGGCUCUUCCUAUCUAGGUGGAAACACCUGAGGCACUGCUCAUCCAUCAUUCAGUUCAUAUUCUACAUCUAAACGGCCAUUCUCUUGUUCUCCUUAUUCCAGCUCUGUUUGAGAGUCACUUAUGAAACAAAGGGGUGAGAACACUUGAACUCUUCAAACUACUGUGAAAUCUGUCUGCUGAGCUCUGUUCACUAUGGUCUGAUGCUGGUAUGCCAAGGUGUGUGGAUACAUGAUCUAUGGCCCUCCUUCAGUUGUGUCUGCCAAAUGUUUAUCCAAUUAAGUAACAUAUAACAUUGCGCUCUUCUUCCAUAGCGAUGAAUUUUGUCCUUAAAAUGUACUUUCCUUUAGUAUCCUUAUUAAUGAUGACUGUAGUUAAACACUGUGGUUGUGCCCUAUAGGAAACAUUAUUUAAAUAGGUAGCUUCUCCCUUAUGUAGUUACACCCUAGAGCUUAGUUUCAUUUUUCUAUUCCAAAAUAGUUCCCCAUUUGCACAGAAGCAUAAAAUUUGAAGUGCAUGCGCACAACCAUAAAUGUUUUUAAAUAUCACUGCUGGAGCAUUCAGAUCGUGUUUCUGGCUCUAGCUCUUUGAUAAUGUCAAAUUCCUGUAAAAGUUUUUGAUUCUCUGCAUAUUUUUCAGAAUACUUGCUCCUGAAUAUUUUCCAGAAAGUGGGAACAACGUAUACCAUGAAAGUUAGUUUAAUUUAUCUCAAUGUCUACUUUUCACAGCUUAUGAUCCGCGGAUAACUGUUUAUCUAUAAAACAUCAAAAACCCAUCUUAGAGGAAUUUAGUAAAGAACGAGCAACAGCAUCCUUGGGAAUGAACAAGGAAGUAAGCACACAAAUCAGUGGACAAUAAAGGUUUUUUUUUU